rnacentral:lncRNA from 1 species
AGCAAACAAAUUCUUUGUUGUUAAAAAAUCCUUGAAACAAUGAAGCUUGAACCAGAAAAGAAUUCGGCAAAAGAGAGAAAAACAAUAAGAGACCUAUAUUAGAAACCCUAGUUUUGUAGUGUUUGUGACUGUGUGCAUUCAGUGUUAGGUUGUUCUCUUCGUUGGGCCUCCUCUAAUAUCAACCUCGGAGCCCAUCCAUAUUGGGCACACAAAUCCGGCCCUGCAUCCGCAACACACCAUCAUCACCAAUAGUCACAUCUCUGGCAUCAUCAUGCUGGACCCUGUCCUUUAGGACAAGCAAAUUCGGGUCAUCAUACUGGCGCUCCCUAAUGCGAUCAUACAAAGAAGACCGAGAAACCAUACAAGCAAACACCCGACUGGGCUCAGAAAUAUCUAACCUCACCAUCCGAUUAGCCAAGGCUUGAACAUCAACUGCAAGGGGCCUCUCCCCAACUGGAAUGUACGCCAAGCUACCCAUAAUAAUCGCCUUCCGACUCAAAGCAUCGGCCACUACAUUGGCCUUUAUCAGAUGAUACAAAAUGGUAAUAUCAUAAUCGUUGACUAACUCAAGCCAUCUUCGCUGUCUCAAAUUGAGAUCAUUUUGCUUAAACAAGUGUUGAAGACUG